GCGGUUGGUGGGCAGUAAAUGAGACAAGAUGCUGCGGAAUCUGCUGUGUUUUCUUCAGAUUGCCCAAAGGACCAUUAGCACUGCUUCACACAUUUUGAAAAUAACGUUCCAGAGAAACAAAAGCUGUUUCAGGAGGAUAAUGGAAUUCCAGUGCAUCUAAAGGGUGGAGUAAGCUGAUGCCCUGCUGUAUAGAGCCACCAUGAUUCUUACAGUUGGUGGAACAGGUUAUGCCAUGUAUCAGUUGGCCAUGGCUUUCCCAAGAAGCAAGAC
rnacentral:lncRNA from 1 species